GCCGGAGUAGCUCAGUUGGUAGAGCAACGGUUUUGUAAACCGUGGGUCGUCGGUUCGAGUCCGGCCUCCGGCU
rfam:Actinobacteria bacterium 13_2_20CM_68_14 13_2_20cm_scaffold_1399, whole genome shotgun sequence.